UACGUAGGGUGCAAGCGUUGUCCGGAAUUAUUGGGCGUAAAGAGCUCGUAGGCGGUCUGUCGCGUCUGGUGUGAAAACUCAGGGCUUAACCCUGAGCUUGCAUCGGGUACGGGCAGACUAGAGUGUGCUAGGGGAGACUGGAAUUCCUGGUGUAGCGGUGAAAUGCGCAGAUAUCAGGAGGAACACCGGUGGCGAAGGCGGAUCUCUGGGCCUGUCCUGACGCUGAGGCGCGAAAGCUAGGGGAGCGAACAGG
rnacentral:rRNA from 1 species